UACCCGCAGCACAAGUGGUGGUCAUUAUUAUUGGGCCUAAAGCGUCCGUAGCUGGCUUGUUAGAUGCCUGGGUAAAUCGAUGCGCUCAACGCAUCGAAUUCCGGGUAGACCGGCAAGCUCGAGACCGGGAGAGGUGUAGGCUACUCGAGGGGUAGGGGUAAAAUCCUGUAAUCCUUCGGGGAGGACCAGUGGCGAAGGCGCUACACUAGAACGGCUCUGACAGUGAGGGACGAAGCCCUGGGGCGCAAACCGG
rnacentral:rRNA from 1 species